UUGAUUGUCUUGUUUUAAUGUUUUGUGUUUGUUAAAUGUUCAUUGAAAUAUCAUUCUGGUUGUUGUAUUUUUUUGAUUUAAUUUUUGUUACGAUAGAUUAUUUGUACUGUAAGGGGUUGGGGUUUAGAAUGUUUUUUAGGAAGUUGAUUUUGUUUGUCGUACCUUGUGUAUCAGGGUUCAUUGAAUUUUAUUAUUUAUUUUUUAUUUCCCGAUUUUAGAGGAGUUAAUAAUUUAUGUUAGUUACUGUUUCAGUAGUAUUAAUAAUAAGUUGUUGGUAGUGAAAUGUUAUUCGUCUUUAAUGGUUUCUGGUUUUCCAAGAAAUGAAUUUAAUUCAUGCAUCUUAUUUAAUUUCUGUUGUUAUUUAUUUAUUUUUAUUUGAUGUUAAAAUUAAGGGGGAUUAGCUCCUUAUUUUAUUUUUAUAAUUAUUUUUGUGAAUUUAGUUUUGUGGAUUUUAUAGUGAUUUUCAAUUUGAUUAUGUUAAAAUUUUAUUUUUUCUUUUGUUUAUUUCUUUUAAUUUAAUUUAUUUAUUGGAAUGUUUUCUUUAUCUUUUUAUGUAUGGUAAUUAUUGUGUAAUUAGUAAAUUGUGUUCGUUAUGUUGUGUGUUUUGAUGUUAAUUUCCUUUUAGGAAUUCGGCAAAGACUUAUGUCCGCCUGUUUAACAAAAACAUCUUUUCUUNNNNNNNNNNNNNNNNNNNNGGUAUGAAUGGCUUGACGAGACAUGGGCUGUCUUAAUAGAAUUUGUUGUUGAAUUUAGUUUUUGAGUUAAAAUACUUAAAUGUUUUUAUGGGACGAGAAGACCCUAUAGAGUUUGACAUUUUGCCUGUUAAUGUGAGGAUUGGGUUUGUUGUAAUUGUUUUAGUGGGUUGAUUGUUUUGUUGGGGUGAUGGGAGGAAUUUUUUAACUCCUCUUUUGUUUGGCAUAUUUAUUUAUAUUUUUUUGAUCCAUUGAUUUAUGAUUAUAAGAUUAAAUUACCUUAGGGAUAACAGCGUUAUCUUCCUUGAGAGUUCUUAUUGGCGGGAAGGUUUGCGACCUCGAUGUUGGAUUAAGAUGAAUUUUCGGUGCAGGAGCUGAAAUUGAUUAGGUCUGUUCGACCUUUAAAAUCUUACAUGAUCUGAGUUCAGACCGGCGUGAGCCAGGUUGGUUUCUAUCUAUAAUAAUGUUUUAUACCUUAGUACGAGAGGACCGGGUAUUUGGAAUAAUUUUAAUUUUGUGUGAUUUUUAUUAAUAUGG
rnacentral:rRNA from 1 species